AUCCAGCUGAGGAGUUCCAAAUAGGACGAAACAUUCGUUCUGGAU
rnacentral:hammerhead_ribozyme from 1 species